GUACAUACAUGGCAGAGAAAUAGCAUGAUCAUGAAGGUAGUUUUCCCAGGAUAAGGCUCUUCUAUUGUACUAGAGAUCUGUUGUAGACAGUUGUGAUUUUUCACAAAUGCAGGAAACUUGACAAAUGAAUUUGUAGCAAUGGGAGACUGUAUUGGUGUUUUCUCCUA
rnacentral:snRNA from 1 species